UACUAUUUCUUUUGCAGCCGCCUCCGAUGUUUAUCAGCAAAUCGCAAUCUUUGCCAUCUUGCAGCGAAACAAAGGAUCUGAAUAUACACAGCAGCAGCAGAAGUAGAAGCAGCAGCAAAACUUUGGCAAAAGAAUUCACUACAGGAGAUUUAUAAUGAUUUUGUUUUAACCGAAAAAUGUCAACAAUUCUACUAUAUCGGCAAGAAAGCCAUGCAAUACUUUGGCUACACAAAUAAAGAAAAAAUAAAUAAAAAGCAAAAAAAAAUUUAAAAUAUUUGCCAAAAAACUUAAAGUUCUCAGCUUUAAAAUUCAAAAAAAAAAAAAGAGAAAUAUCACCAAUGAAUUCAGUUGCUUGGUUUUGGGUGCCACUUAUCGCUUUGCAAUGCAAGUGCGAAAUAUUCCGACUAUGCGCAACUGAUCACGAUUGAAUUGAAUAACCGAAUCGAAAGUAGUGGCGAGUUGAGAUUAAACAAGGCGAUUCCAGUGGCUAGCAUGUGCAACAUCUAAAACUACAACCAGCAAAGUCUAUUUCGAUUAUCAUCAACUGGAUGAAAGAAGUACCGGCACGACGUGAACGUUAAAAUAACUGAGAUUUACAUCCGAUAUUCUGGGCUGAUUUGUUAUGCAUACGACUGUGAUUGAUAUUUGCAAGACAAUUGACCGGCCAUGAACCACGUUACACAGAUUUAGACAUCGGAGACGAGCGAGACGCAGAUGCAGGAGCUACAAGCUUGUCAAAACACAGUUUUGAGAACCAUAAUAAAAACACUUCUAUAGUGAAACAUAUAUGCUCACAAUUAAAAGGAUAAUCCAUCAUCAGUAAGGGAUUAUUGGACUUUAUGGACUGCAAUCGACACCAUAGCCUAGAAUCGCUGACAGAAUAGCAGAAGAGCAGCUAAACGUAGGUGUCGAGAACUGAGUAUUACUGGCACAAGUAAAGCUAUUGGACCAGAUUGCAUUUAUAUUUAUCUAGAUUUGGCUAUGUCAGGAGCCUCUCUAGAUGACAUCGAGGCGAUAUACAAUAAUAAUCAUUAUCAAACAAGAGAGAGAUUCAUCACAUUUAGAGCAAAUAACUCAGAACUGAUGCAAAAUGUUAACCAAUUGCAAGAUAUCGAAGCAGUUAUGACCCAAAUAUGGUAAAACAAGAACCAAGGACAAGGCAUGUCUCCAACAUAUGUAUGUUUGCCUGCAAUGAAUUCACGCACGUCACUAAUCACCUUUUUAUAUGACCUUUUUACGAUCCUCUUUUUUGCUGACCUUUUCCCUCUAGUCCGAACUCUUCGAAAUAGAUUGAUCCUUGGACUUCCCAGUGGAAAUUUGAGCCCAAAGCUACCUCUGUACAAAACUUUAUAUAAAUCAAACGUUAAAUAAAUUUUUUUUGCAAUACAUCGAUAUCAAGUCUACUUCUCGAAAGAAAAAGUGUUUCCCAUGCCAAUUUAGGCAAAAAGUUAACUGUGCACCGAAUUUCAUGAAACUCAAGCUAUUUAAAAGAAUUUCUUUGUUGUAAAUAUAACAAAAAUAUUCAAUUCAUAUAAACAAGCCAGGUCUUCGGCUCACUAAGAACACAAUUCUGAUUUAAAAUAGAUUUCCAUUUUUUCGAUUACAUCGGUCCUAGGUCGAGAUCCCAGAAAAUUCUUUCAUAACCGAUGCCUCCGUCAUACGCAAAACACAAUCUCUAAGUUUCAGAUCUUUACGGUCAGAG